rnacentral:tRNA from 1 species
GGUCCCGUAGCUCAACUGGAUAGAGUAGCGGAUUUCUACUCCGCGGGUUCAGGUUCGAAUCCUGCCGGGAUCGCCA